rnacentral:rRNA from 1 species
AUGCAUCGGAAUGUACCGUGUAAUGGGGGAUAGCUCGGCGAAAGCCGGAUUAAUACCGCAUACGCCCUGAGGGGGAAAGCGGGGGAUCGAAAGACCUCGCGUUAUACGAGCAGCCGAUGUCUGAUUAGCUAGUUGGUGAGGUAAAAGCUCACCAAGGCGACGAUCAGUAGCGGGUCUGAGAGGAUGAUCCGCCACACUGGGACUGAGACACGGCCCAGACUCCUACGGGAG